CUCCAGUUGGAUGCAUGUCCUUCUGGGAAAGAUUCAUCGGUAUGGGAUGGGGUCGCGUCCUAUCAGCUUGAUGGCGGGGUAACGGCCCACCAUGGCUUCGACGGGUAGCCGGCCUGAGAGGGCGACCGGCCACAUUGGGACUGAGAUACGGCCCAGACUCCUACGGGAGGCAGCAGUGGGGAAUAUUGCACAAUGGGCGCAAGCCUGAUGCAGCGACGCCGCGUGCGGGAUGACGGCCUUCGGGUUGUAAACCGCUUUUGACUGGGAGCAAGCCCUUCGGGGUGAGUGUACCUUUCGAAUAAGCACCGGCUAACUACGUGCCAGCAGCCGCGGUAAUACGUAGGGUGCAAGCGUUAUCCGGAAUUAUUGGGCGUAAAGGGCUCGUAGGCGGUUCGUCGCGUCCGGUGUGAAAGUCCAUCGCUUAACGGUGGAUCCGCGCCGGGUACGGGCG
rnacentral:rRNA from 1 species